rnacentral:rRNA from 1 species
UACGGAGGAUCCAAGCGUUAUCCGGAUUUAUUGGGUUUAAAGGGUGCGUAGGCGGAAUAGUAAGUCAGUGGUGAAAGCCUGUCGCUUAACGACAGAACUGCCAUUGAUACUGCUAAUCUUGAGUAUAAUUGAAGUGGGCGGAAUGUGCCGUGUAGCGGUGAAAUGCUUAGAUAUGACACAGAACACCGAUUGCGAAGGCAGCUCACUAAACUAUAACUGACGCUGAGGCACGAAAGCGUGGGGAUCAAACAGG